UACGUAGGGGGCAAGCGUUGUCCGGAAUCAUUGGGCGUAAAGAGCGUGUAGGCGGCCUGAUAAGUCGGUUGUGAAAGUCAAGGGCUCAACCCUUGAAUGCCGGCCGAUACUGUCAGGCUAGAGUCCGGAAGAGGCGAGUGGAACUCCUGGUGUAGCGGUGGAAUGCGCAGAUAUCAGGAGGAACACCAAUAGCGAAGGCAGCUCGCUGGGACGGUACUGACGCUAAGGCGCGAAAGCGUGGGGAGCGAACAGG
rnacentral:rRNA from 1 species